UAGAGUUUGAUCAUGGCUCAGGAUGAACGCUAGCGGCGCGCUUAACACAUGCAAGUCGCGCGAUCGGACCGGACCUGAUUCCUUCGGGAUGACGGAUCGGUUACGGAGCGGCGGACUGGUGAGUAACACGUAGCUAACCUCCCUUCGGGCGGAAAAUAGCAUCGGGAAACUGAUGUUAAUAUUCCAUAACAUAAGAGGACUUCAGGUCCUCUUAUCAAAGUGGUUUAGGCCAUACCUGAAGAUGGGGCUGCGUCCUAUUAGCUAGACGGUGAGGUAAAGGCUCACCGUGGCGAUGAUAGGUAGGGGGCCUGAGAGGGCGAUCCCUCACACUGGGACUGAGACACGGCCCAGACUCCUACGGGAGGCUGCAGUGGGGAAUCUUGCGCAAUGGUCGCAAGGCUGACGCAGCGACGCCGCGUGGAGGACGAAGGCCUUCGGGUUGUAAACUCCUUUUCUGGGGGACGAAUAAGGUCAGUAGGUAAUGGCUGACCGAUGACGGUACCCCAGGAACAAGCGCCGGCUAACUUCGUGCCAGCAGCCGCGGUAAUACGAAGGGCGCAAGCGUUAUCCGGAAUUACUGGGCGUAAAGGGCGUCUAGGCGGUUGGUCAAGUCAGUCGUGAAAGUCC
rnacentral:rRNA from 1 species